UACGGGGGGUGCAAGCGUUAUUCGGAUUCAUUGGGCGUAAAGAGCGCGUAGGCGGUCUCUUAAGUCAGAUGUGAAAGCCCGGGGCUCAACCCCGGAAGUGCAUUUGAAACUAAGGGACUUGAGUAUGGGAGAGGGAAGUGGAAUUCCUGGUGUAGAGGUGAAAUUCGUAGAUAUCAGGAGGAACACCGGUGGCGAAGGCGACUUCCUGGACCAAUACUGACGCUGAGGCGCGAAGGCGUGGGGAGCAAACAGG
rnacentral:rRNA from 1 species